UACGUAGGGAGCAAGCGUUGUCCGGAAUCAUUGGGCGUAAAGCGCGCGUAGGUGGCCUCAUAAGUCCGCUGUGAAAGUCAAAGGCUCAACCUUUGAAAGCCGGUGGAUACUGUGAGGCUAGAGUGCGGGAGAGGCGAGUGGAAUUCCUGGUGUAGCGGUGAAAUGCGCAGAUAUCAGGAGGAACACCAAUUGCGAAGGCAGCUCGCUGGAACGUAACUGACGCUGAGACGCGAAAGCGUGGGGAGCAAACAGG
rnacentral:rRNA from 1 species